AUUGAACGCUGGCGGCAUGCCUUACACAUGCAAGUCGAACGGCAGCGGGGGAGAAGCUUGCUUUUCCUGCCGGCGAGUGGCGGACGGGUGAGUAAUACAUCGGAACGUGCCCUGUAGUGGGGGAUAACUAGUCGAAAGAUUAGCUAAUACCGCAUACGACCUGAGGGUGAAAGUGGGGGACCGCAAGGCCUCAUGCUAUAGGAGCGGCCGAUGUCUGAUUAGCUAGUUGGUGGGGUAAAGGCCUACCAAGGCGACGAUCAGGAGCUGGUCUGAGAGGACGAUCAGCCACACUGGGACUGGGACACGGCCCAGACUCCUACGGGAGGCAGCAGUGGGGAAUUUUGGACAAUGGGCGAAAGCCUGAUCCAGCAAUGCCGCGUGUGUGAAGAAGGCCUUCGGGUUGUAAAGCACUUUUGUCCGGAAAGAAAUGGCUCUGGUUAAUACCUGGGGUCGAUGACGGUACCGGAAGAAUAAGGACCGGCUAACUACGUGCCAGCCGCCGCCGUAAUAC
rnacentral:rRNA from 1 species